CAGUCGCCACGGGAACACGAAGGGUGCAAGCGUUACUCGGAAUUACUGGGCGUAAAGCGUGCGUAGGUGGUGGUUUAAGUCCGUUGUGAAAGCCCUGGGCUCAACCUGGGAAUUGCAGUGGAUACUGGGUCACUAGAGUGUGGUAGAGGAUAGUGGAAUUUCCGGUGUAGCAGUGAAAUGCGUAGAGAUCGGAAGGAACAUCUGUGGCAAAGGCGACUAUCUGGGCCAACACUGACACUGAGGCACGAAAGCGUGGGGAGCAAACAGGAUUAGAUACCCCGGUAGUCCCUGUCUCUUAUAA
rnacentral:rRNA from 1 species